UACGUAGGGUGCGAGCGUUAAUCGGAAUUACUGGGCGUAAAGCGUGCGCAGGCGGUUGUGCAAGACAGAUGUGAAAUCCCCGGGCUUAACCUGGGAACUGCAUUUGUGACUGCACAGCUGGAGUGCGGCAGAUGGGGAUGGAAUUCCGCGUGUAGCAGUGAAAUGCGUAGAUAUGCGGAGGAACACCGAUGGCGAAGGCAAUCCCCUGGGCCUGCACUGACGCUCAUGCACGAAAGCGUGGGGAGCAAACAGG
rnacentral:rRNA from 1 species